CUGGUCUGAUUGUGGAUUUUAGGGGUUCUCACCCCCUUGAUUCAACUAAGUAUCACGUUCUAUUUUUCUUCUUCAGUUUAUUGGGAUUUUUCUUAAAUAAGGCUUUGAUUUAUUGAAGAUAUGAUGAUGGGUUUUGUUUUUAUUUUGUAGAUUAUGAAAGAAGGUUUAUUGGAAUUGAAUGAGAAGGAUGGAUCUAGCUCUUAUGAAAUCAGAGAGAUAACCUUCUAGGAGGGGGCUCUCUGUUGGUUCCAUCAACAAGGCCCUAUUCACUGAUGGCCAGUUCACUCAGACAAGUUCCCCAUCUAUUUGCUCACACCAACUUGAAGGCUGCAAACAUUUUGCUUGAUCAUGAAUUCAUGCCUCGUCUAUGUGACUCUGCUCUAGCUGUUUUGAGGCCAUGUAUUGGCAAUACUACCGACCUUAAGAGCAAUGUUUAACUUUUUGUCUUAUUGUAAUGCAAUCUUUGUAAUGAAUUACCAAAUCCAUAUUUCUGAGCUUGGAAUAGAUAAUGAGAAAGACUAGAAUAGCUUUAGCUAUAUUUCUGAACUUGUAUUCUGACUUCACAACUGCUUUAGUUGGAAUCUGUCUUGUA